rnacentral:rRNA from 1 species
CUACGUGCCAGCAGCCGCGGUAAUACGGAGGAUGCGAGCGUUAUCCGGAUUUAUUGGGUUUAAAGGGGGCGUAGGCGGACGAUUAAGUCAGCUGUGAAAGUUUGCGGCUCAACCGUAAAAUUGCAGUUGAAACUGGUUGUCUUGAGUGCACGCAGGGAUGUUGGAAUUCAUGGUGUAGCGGUGAAAUGCUUAGAUAUCAUGAAGAACUCCGAUCGCGAAGGCAUAUGUCCGGAGUGCAACUGACGCUGAGGCUCGAAAGUGCGGGUAUCGAACAGGAUUAGAUACCCUGGUAGUCCGCACAGUAAACGAUGAAUACUCGCAGUAUGCGAUAUAAUGUAUGCUGCCAAGCGAAAGCAUUAAGUAUACCACCUGGGGAGUACGCCGGCAACGGUGAAACUCAAAGGAAUUGACGGGGGCCCGCACAAGCGGAGGAACAUGUGGUUUAAUUCGAUGAUACGCGAGGAACCUUACCCGGGCUUGAAC